rnacentral:rRNA from 1 species
GACAGAGGUGCCGAGCGUUAGGCGGAAUCACUGGGCUUAAAGCGUGUGUAGGCGGCCCGUUAAGUGUCCCGUGAAAUCCCCCGGCUCAACCGGGGAACCGCGGGGCAUACUGGCGGGCUUGGGCCACUCAGGGGCAGACGGAACAGGCGGUGGAGCGGUGAAAUGCGUUGAGAUCGGAAGGAACGCCCGUGGCGAAAGCGAGGUCCUGGACGUCUUCUGACGCUGAGACGCGAAAGCUAGGGGAGCGAACGGG